AUACGGGGGGUGCAAGCGUUAUUCGGAAUUAUUGGGCGUAAAGGGCGCGUAGGCGGUCUUGUCGGUCAGAUGUGAAAGCCCGGGGCUCAACCCUGGAAGUGCAUUUGAAACAGCAAGACUUGAGUACGGGAGAGGAGAGCGGAAUUCCUGGUGUAGAGUUGAAAUUCGUAGAUAUCAGGAGGAACACCGAUGGCGAAGGCAGCUCUCUGGACCGAUACUGACGCUGAGGCGCGAAGGCGUGGGUAGCGAACAGGAUUAGAAACCCUUGUAGUCC
rnacentral:rRNA from 1 species